rnacentral:SRP_RNA from 1 species
AAGACCCAGUUGUCUACUGUGACAUCCUGCCCCACCAGGUCGGCGGCGUGGGAGCGCUCUCUGAAGGGAGGGUUGCUACCUGCUCACGAUCGAAUCCGGCGAGGCCCGGAAGGGAGCAGUCGUAAGGUCGACGUUCGACGCAGGUGGGAUCCCAGGGUGGAGAAAACGGCUAGGACACCGUGCUUGGAAGAGAUGCCCAUUGCCAGAGGACGCCAUCAC